UUAUGAGAAGAAUAGACAGAUAUCGAUGCUGCCUGAAUGACGCUGAGAUCACUGUAAAAUGUCAAUCAAGCUUCGUGAUAAUGCCGGAUUAGAAAUUUAUCAACGAUUUCUCAUCGUUACAUCGCGUCGAAUACAGAGAUUAUGCUAAAUUCUAUGUACUUGGAUUUCCUACCUGUGGAAUAAAUUGGUUUGUAUUGUACGGAGUCCCAACUUUAUGAUGAAGAAUUAUUUCGAAAUCGGAUACUGUCUACUUGAACAUACAAAUUCCUGAUUCCAUACAUUUGGAAGUACGAGUGAUUAGAAAGUUAUUGGAAGUACCUGCUUAUAAUUGGUAAAAUUACGAGAAUUAUUUUAAGUAAAAUUCAACGUUCAUUGGUAAGUGAUUUUUUUCAAUUUUUAUAUUCGGACUUGCGAAGGUAUGUGCUUUCAUUUUGUAAUUCGUAAGCAAAAAUUGCAGAAUAUGCCGACUUUUCGAACGUAUUUUUUUUUACUGAUUUAAAGUUUAGAAUUGAAUUUAUUGUUUUCCAAAUCAAGGCACCUUUUAAAAAUGAAGCAAAAUUUUCUAGA